UACAGGGGGGUGCAAACGUUUGCUCGGAAUUAUUGGGCGUAAAGCGCGCGUAGGCGGCUACCUAAGUCGGAUGUGAAAGCCCCUGGCUUAACUGGGGAAGUGCACCCGAAACUGAGUAGCUAGAGUGCGAAAGAGGGUCGCGGAAUUCCCGGUGUAGAGGUGAAAUUCGUAGAUAUCGGGAGGAACACCGGUGGCGAAGGCGGCGACCUGGGUCGACACUGACGCUGAGGCGCGAAAGCGUGGGGAGCAAACAGG
rnacentral:rRNA from 1 species